rnacentral:rRNA from 1 species
AAUUAAGUCAGAUGUGAAAGCCCCGAGCUUAACUUGGGAAUUGCAUCUGAAACUGGUUGGCUAGAGUCUUGUAGAGGGGGGUAGAAUUCCAUGUGUAGCGGUGAAAUGCGUAGAGAUGUGGAGGAAUACCGGUGGCGAAGGCGGCCCCCUGGACAAAGACUGACGCUCAGGUGCGAAAGCGUGGGGAGCAAACAGGAUUAGAUACCCUGGUAGUCCACGCUGUAAACGAUGUCGAUUU